rnacentral:tRNA from 1 species
GAGGGUACAGCUCAAAUGGUAGAGCGCAUGCUUAGCAUGCGUGAGGUCCUGGGUUCAAUCCCCAGUACCUCCU